rnacentral:misc_RNA from 1 species
GAUGAAGAACGUAGCGAAAUGCGAUAAGUAGUGUGAAUUGCAGAAUUCAGUGAAUCAUCGAAUCUUUGAACGCACAUUGCGCCCCUUGGUAUUCCAUGGGGCAUGCCUGUUCGAGCGUCAUCUACACCCUCAAGCUCUGCUUGGUGUUGGGCGUCUGUCCCGCCUUUGCGCGUGGACUCGCCCCAAAUUCAUUAGCAGCGGUCCUUGCCUCCUCUCGCGCAGCACAUUUGCGCUUCUCGAGGUGCGCGGGCCGCGUCCACGAAGCAACUAUUACCGUCUUUGACCUCGGAUCAGGUAGGGAUACUCGCUGAACUUAAGCAUAUCAAUAAGCGGAGGA